UACGUAGGGUCCGAGCGUUAUCCGGAAUCAUUGGGCGUAAAGGGUGCGUAGGUGGCGCUGUAAGUCGGGUGUGAAAUCCUGAGGCUUAACCUCGGAACUACAUUCGAUACUGCGGCGCUUGAGGACUGGAGAGGAGACUGGAAUUCAUGGUGUAGCAGUGAAAUGCGUAGAGAUCAUGAGGAAGACCAGUGGCGAAGGCGGGUCUCUGGACAGUUCCUGACACUGAGGCACGAAGGCCAGGGGAGCAAACGGG
rnacentral:rRNA from 1 species